GAUGAACGCUAGCGGCAGGCUUAACACAUGCAAGUCGAGGGGUAUAUAGUUUUCGGAUUAUAGAGACCGGCAAACGGGUGCGGAACACGUACGCAAUCUGCCUCUGUCUUGGGGAUAGCCCAUAGAAAUGUGGAUUAAUACCCAAUAGUAUUAUAGAGUGGCAUCACUUAGUAAUUAAAGAUUUAUUGGACAGAGAUGAGCGUGCGUCCCAUUAGCUAGUUGGUGCGGUAACGGCGUACCAAGGCGACGAUGGGUAGCUGGUGUGAGAGCACGACCAGCCACACGGGCACUGAGACACGGGCCCGACUCCUACGGGAGGCAGCAGUGAGGAAUAUUGGUCAAUGGGCGGAAGCCUGAACCAGCCAUGCCGCGUGAAGGAUGAAGGCGUUCUGCGUUGUAAACUUCUUUUAUUUGGUAAGAAAAUUGUGGUUUCUACUGCAACCGACGGUACCAGAUGAAUAAGCACCGGCUAACUCCGUGCCAGCAGCCG
rnacentral:rRNA from 1 species